AUUGAACGCUGGCGGCAGGCCUAACACAUGCAAGUCGAACGAGUGGCGGACGGGUGAGUAAUGGCUGGGAAACUGCCCGCUGGAGAGGGAUAACUGCUGGAAACGGUAGCUAAUACCGCAUACCAUCGGAUGUGCCCCGAUGUGAUUAGCUGGUAGGUGGGGGAACGGCUCACCUAGGCGACGAUCCCUAGCUGGUCUGAGAGGAUGACCAGCCACACUGGAACUGAGACACGGUCCAGACUCCUACGGGAGGCAGCAGUGGGGAAUAUUGCACAAUGGGCGCAAGCCUGAUGCAGCCAUGCCGCGUGUAUGAAGAAGGCCUUCGGGUUGUAAAGUACUUUCAGCGAGGAGGCGUUACUCGCAGAAGAAGCACCGGCUAACUCCGUGCCAGCAGCCGCGGUAAUAC
rnacentral:rRNA from 1 species